UUGACCCCAGGUCAGGUGGG
rnacentral:rRNA from 1 species